UCUCUGGUGGCUCAGAUGGUAAAGCAUCUGCCUGCAAUGCAGGAGACCUGGGUUCGAUCCCCAGGUUGGGAA
rnacentral:tRNA from 1 species